CUCUUUCUUCAUAUUGCAUUCUCCAUAUGCCAUGCUUUUUUCUUCAUACUCUGUUCUCCAUAUGCCAUUCACCAUUCUCCAUUUUCUAUUAUCUAAACAUUAUUCUCCAUAAUACAUACUCCUUAUUCCAUUGUUCAUUCACUUUUCUCCCUACUCGAUACUCUCACACUUUUCUGCAUUCUCCAUACUCCAUUCUCCAUAUUUCAAACUUUAUACACCCUUCUCAAUUCUCUUUACUCUAGAGUCUAUUCCCCAUAUACCAUUCCCCAUUCUUCAUUUUCCACAGUCCAUUCUUCAUUCUUUUAUCUUCACACACCAAUCUUUAUUCUCCAUACUCCAUUCUCUAUUCUACUUUCUUCAUAUUCCAUUUGUUACACAGCAGUCUCCAUUCGCUUUUCUCCAUACUCCAUUAUUCACUAUUUUCUCCGUAUGCCAUUGUCCAUACACCAUUUCUAUCAUACAUUUUUCAUUCUCUAUAUUCCACCUCUAUACACUGUUCUCCAUAUUUCAUUUUUCAUACACCAUUCUUUAUUCUCC
rnacentral:lncRNA from 1 species